rnacentral:rRNA from 1 species
CCUACGGGAGGCAGCAGUGGGGAAUUUUGGACAAUGGGGGAAACCCUGAUCCAGCAAUGCCGCGUGUGUGAAGAAGGCCUUCGGGUUGUAAAGCACUUUUGUCCGGAAAGAAAUCCUAUGAGUUAAUACCUCGUGGGGAUGACGGUACCGGAAGAAUAAGGACCGGCUAACUACGUGCCAGCAGCCGCGGUAAUACGUAGGGUCCAAGCGUUAAUCGGAAUUACUGGGCGUAAAGCGUGCGCAGGCGGUUUUGUAAGACAGGCGUGAAAUCCCCGGGCUCAACCUGGGAAUUGCGCUUGUGACUGCAAAGCUAGAGUAUGUCAGAGGGGGGUAGAAUUCCACGUGUAGCAGUGAAAUGCGUAGAGAUGUGGAGGAAUACCGAUGGCGAAGGCAGCCCCCUGGGACAAAACUGACGCUCAUGCACGAAAGCGUGGGGAGCAAACAGGAUUAGAUACCCUGGUAGUCCACGCCCUAAACGAUGUCAACUGGUUGUUGGACGGCUUGCUGUUCAGUAACGAAGCUAACGCGUGAAGUUGACCGCCUGGGGAGUACGGCCGCAAGGUUGAAACUCAAAUGAAUUGACGG